UUGUGUUUGGCCUACGAUUUUUCUUUUGUGAACCUCGUCAGGACGGAAACGGAGCAGCGAUAAGCAAUAAGAAAUUUGUGUGGUGCAUAAAUA
rnacentral:SRP_RNA from 1 species